rnacentral:rRNA from 1 species
UACGUAGGGGGCAAGCAUUAUCCGGAUUUACUGGGUGUAAAGGGAGCGCAGACGGCAGUGCAAGUCUGGAGUGAAAGCCCGGGGCCCAACCCCGGAACUGCUCUGGAAACUGUGCGGCUAGAGUACUGGAGGGGCAGGCGGAAUUCCUAGUGUAGCGGUGAAAUGCGUAGAUAUUAGGAGGAACACCAGUGGCGAAGGCGGCCUGCUGGACAGUAACUGACGUUGAGGCUCGAAAGCGUGGGGAGCAAACAGG